rnacentral:lncRNA from 1 species
UAAAACUCGAGAGAGUCUCUCGGGGACUGGACUAACCACGUGUUGUGGUGAACCAGGAUAAAAUUCGGUGUGUUCUCUCCUUAUCUCUUUUAUUACUGCACUUACGUUAUUCCUGCAAUUUUCAAUUCCGCAAAUUUACAUUGUUUUUAUUAUAAUGCUAUUCACCCCCCCUCUAGCGUUAGCAUAUAGAGUGUUUAAUAAUCAAACUAAAAUUGUUGAGGAAUCUCCUCAUGUAGUAUUUUGUGAAAAUGAUGCUCGCUUGGUGAGAAAAGGAUUCUUGUGUUGAUCUUGCAGAUGCUUUAAAGAAAAUCAAUCUUCAAGACGAGGUACAAAAGGAGGAUCCAAAGGAAGUUCAAGAUGAAGUCAUGNN